UAAGACGUAGGAUGCAAGCGUUGUCCGGAAUUAUUGGGCGUAAAGAGUUCGUAGGCGGUUACUUAAGUCUGGUGUUAAAGACGGGAGCUCAACUCCCGCAUGGCAUUGGAAACUGGGUGGCUAGAGUGCGGUAGAGGUCUCGGGAAUUCCAGGUGUAGCGGUGAAAUGCGUAGAUAUCUGGAGGAACACCGGUGGCGAAAGCGCGAGACUGGGCCGUAACUGACGCUGAGGAACGAAAGCCAGGGGAGCGAAAGGGAUUAGAUACCCCUGUAGUCCUGGCCGUAAACGAUGGAUACUAGGUGUAGGAGGAUUCGACCCCUUCUGUGCCGUAGCUAACGCGAUAAGUAUCCCGCCUGGGGAGUACGACCGCAAGGUUG
rnacentral:rRNA from 1 species